rnacentral:rRNA from 1 species
GAUGAACGCUGGCGGCGUGCCUAAUACAUGCAAGUCGAGCGAACAGACGAGGAGCUUGCUCCUCUGACGUUAGCGGCGGACGGGUGAGUAACACGUGGAUAACCUACCUAUAAGACUGGGAUAACAUCGGGAAACCGGAGCUAAUACCGGAUAAUAUAUUGAACCGCAUGGUUCAAUAGUGAAAGACGGUUUUGCUGUCACUUAUAGAUGGAUCCGCGCCGCAUUAGCUAGUUGGUAAGGUAACGGCUUACCAAGGCAACGAUGCGUAGCCGACCUGAGAGGGUGAUAGGCCACACUGGAAUUGAGACACGGUCCAGACUCCUGCGGGAGGCAGCAGUAGGGAAUCUUCCGCAAUGGGCGAAAGCGUGAAGGAGCAACGCCGCGUGAGUGAUGAAGGUCUUCGGAUCGUAAAACUCUGUUAUUAGGGAAGAACAAAUGUGUAAGUAACUAUGCACGUCAUGACGGUACCUAAUCAGAAAGCCACGGCUAACUACGUG